UACGUAGGGAGCAAGCGUUAUCCGGAUUUACUGGGUGUAAAGGGCGCGCAGGCGGGCCGGCAAGUUGGAAGUGAAAUCCCGGGGCUUAACUCCGGAACUGCUUUCAAAACUGCUGGUCUUGAGUGAUGGAGAGGCAGGCGGAAUUCCGUGUGUAGCGGUGAAAUGCGUAGAUAUACGGAGGAACACCAGUGGCGAAGGCGGCCUGCUGGACAUUAACUGACGCUGAGGCGCGAAAGCGUGGGGAGCAAACAGG
rnacentral:rRNA from 1 species